rnacentral:misc_RNA from 1 species
GAUGAAGAACGCAGCGAAAUGCGAUAAGUAGUGUGAAUUGCAGAAUUCAGUGAAUCAUCGAAUCUUUGAACGCACAUUGCGCCCCUCGGUAUUCCGUGGGGCAUGCCUGUUCGAGCGUCAUUUAACCCCUCAAGCCUAGCUUGGUAUUGGGUGCUUGUCCCGCCUCUCGCGCGACGACUCACCUCAAAGUCAUUGGCAGCCCGCAUCUCGCCGGCCGUGAGCGCAGCACAGACGCGCUCUUGGCAACGACGGAUCGGCUCUCCAAAAGCUUAUUUCAACCACUGACCUCGGAUCAGGUAGGGAUACCCGCUGAACUUAAGCAUAUCAAUAAGCGGAGGA